GUGGGACUUGCUCAGGGACUCACUGCUGGCCUUGGGGAGCAGAGAACUCAGGUCUUUGUGAUUCCGAAGUCCAGGUUCUUCCACCUGCAACUGCAGUUUCCAGAAUUGGUCCCACCCCAGGAGGAUCAGCCAGCAGUGGCUAUAACAAGACCAAAGGCUUGAGGUGCACUUCCACAGUGGAGCUGUCUUCUUGGCUUCUGCUGUGAGAAGAUUGUCCCCCUGAAUGGCUGCCGGCCCUUCAGCCUCGCCCCGCCAAGAGACACAUGGAACAGCCAGAGCCCAGCCUAGAGCCUGUAUCCCAGCCUAGCCUGAGGCAGAGCCACCCAGCCAAGACCAACUGACCUUCAGCUAACCUGCAGAUGCAUCAGGGGGAAUUAAAUGAUUGUUCUAAA
ensembl:lncRNA novel transcript